AUUCAACAGUGGAAACACACUCCACCAUUGGCGGAAGAAGAUGGUCAGAGAAAGAACCAGAUGGAGCUAUUCUACAGGAAGUACUCACUGACCAUAAGAGUAGGAUGAAGAAGCGCUUCGAGUGCAUAUUUGAAGGUAUU